rnacentral:lncRNA from 1 species
UUAAAAAAAUAAAAAAAUAUAUAAUCAACUUGUCAUUGAUAUUAUAGUAAAGGAAUAAUUGUCUAUAUACUCCCGUCAAAACUUUAAAAAUAUCUCAUUUAUUCUCCUUUUUUUUUUCUUUCUAAUACAUCCCUUAUAUAUUCCUCCGUUAUUCUAAAAUAUUCCUGUAGUUAUCAUCUGUUAAAGUUAAAUAUCUACCACAGUUAAAAAAAUUUAAAAUAUCAUUUUUAUCCUUAACUUAAGGCAAUUAAAAAAUAUUGGUGAUGAUAGAAAGAUAUAUUUGAAAAGACCAAAAAACAAAAUACCCCUAACUUAAGGGCAAAUAAGAAAAAUUGGUGCGGAUAGAAAGGUAUAUUUGAAAGGACAAAAUAAUAAUUUUAUAGAGAUAACAGAGUUCAUUAACAGAUUUUAACUCUAGAAAUGUAUUUGAAAUAGGUUGGAACGUAAAAAAGCUAUUUUCAAUAUUAGCUUUCUAAGAAGGAUAAAUCAGAAAGUCAAAUAUUUUUCGAAAAUAUAUAAGUAAUUAUCCUUAUAAUAAAAAGGCUAAAUUACAUAAAAUCUUCCUGUCAAAAUCUAAUUUUUUACUUUCUCCCCUGUCAUUUAAAAACCUACACUUUGCCCCCUUGUAAAUUAAAAAAAUGUUUAGGAGGGUACAGUGUGUAAAAUGACUAUUUUGCCUCUCACCUUUUUCAUCUCCUCCAUCUUCUUCCUCAACUGCCGCCUCGAUCGGCCGUAAUUUCUUUUCAUUUUCUUCUCCACCUGCUUCCCUUUUCCUCCUGCACCCUCGCCGCCCCUCGAUUUUGGCGACAGUAGGAAGAAAAUUGAGGUAGGUGUUGAUGGAGAGGUAGGCAAGGGCAAUGAGGGCGAGGGCGAGGGUGAAGGCGAGGCGGCGGAGGAGGACGAAGGGGAUGUCAGCGAGGGCGAGGCAGUGGAGGAGGGCGAGGCGGCGAGGUGGCGGCGAGGCGGCGAGCCGGAGAAAGGCGAAUCAAAAGGGAAGAGGGCAGAGGGGUAUUUUUAGUAUAAAAAAAUAUUUUAUAACGGAAUCCUAAUGAUGGGGAGUGAAGUGCAUAUUUUUUAUUUUAUAAGGGGGCAAAGUGUAGAUUUUUAAAUGACAAAAUGAAAAAUAAAAAAUUAAAUUUUAAUAAAAAUUUUUCUAUAAUUUAGCCUAAUAAAAAA